rnacentral:miRNA from 1 species
UUAGAAUAGGGGAGCUUAACU